ACCAGCCAGCAGCCGCUGGCAGCGACCUUCUCUCGCUUCCGUCUUCCUCUUCGUCUCCUCUCCCCCUCUCUCCAGUUCGACGAGAAAACAACAGCCGUACAGAGACAGCGAGCAGCCGACGAGGAGAGCAAAAGCCACAACAGGCGACAAGCGCACAUCCGGCGAGAAGCGAUGGAGCCGGUGAAGGCAGUAGCUGAUGCUCCUACCGAAAUGGGAUGCAAAGCUUCAAUAAGACAGAUCUUUACAUAUCUGUUCGGGUUCAUUUAUUUUCCAACUAUUACCUCCUUUGGCAAACUUACGCAUUCAUCUUUGUUUUAUGACAAGCUUGUCACUGAUUGCAAAUUUGGAUCUAUCGUGCAACAUGUUGAAUUGAACUAUCAUUAGUAUG
rnacentral:misc_RNA from 1 species